UUGCCCUCACAUUGUCCUCAUAACCAGCCUGUGCAUCUGAGGAAUGCUGGAAUGUUCCUCAUGCUGCUUUCUUGGCCUAGAGAUAAGGAUGCAGUCCUGCCCCAGGCCUGGCAUAGACAGAGAAAAACAGACACAGAUUUAUGAAUUCUAUAUGAUGUACAAUAGAUCUGAUGUAUGCAUAAGCCAGGCUGUCUCAGCCUAAUCCAUUGGGCAACCAAUGCCUAGUCAGCAUCUCCUAUGCUCUUAUCGAUGUAUUUUUAAAGUAAUUUUUACUGCGAUCUAAUUCACACAGCAUCGUCAAAACCCAUUGAUUUUCAAUAUGUUUACCAAGCUGUGUUCUACCCCCUUAGCUAACUCCAGAAGUUUUCCAAUACUCCUCAAAAAAAAAAAAAAAGUUAAUAUAUAUUAGAGUCUCUAACUUCCAACAAACUCUAACCUACUUUGCCUUUAGGAGUAUGUCUAUUCUGGGCAUUUUAGAUCACUUGUGACCUCUUGUGUCUGGCUUCUUUCACCCACAAGAAUGUUUUCAAGAUCCACCCUCAUGUUGCAGAACUUUUCUGAAGUUCAUUUUUUUUUUAAUGGGAAAAUAGUACUCCAUUGUAGAAAUAUGCCACCAUGUCUUAUUUAUUAUGUCCUAGCUCCCUUACAACUAAAUUGUAAGUCGAUAGGUUGCUUCUGGUCUCUCUAUUCUACUGAGAGCUUGAAGCUAACCUUACAGUAACACUACUGAGUUGGUAACUGUGCCUUUGUAUUGAGUUUUUAAAUGUUAAAAAUGAGUCCUCCAACUUUUUCAAGACUAUUUUUCCACAUUCUAAGUCCACUGCACUACCACGUGAGUUUUAAGAUCAGCUUACCAACUUCUACAAAAAAAAAUAAUAAUAA